rnacentral:rRNA from 1 species
AUUGAACGCUGGCGGCAGGCCUAACACAUGCAAGUCGAACGAGUGGCAGACGGGUGGGUAAUGUCUGGGAAACUGCCCUAUGGAGGGGGAUAACUACUGGAAACGGUCGCUAAUACCGCAUACCCUCGGAUGUGCCCAGAUGGGAUUAGCUAGUAGGGGGGGUAACGGCGCACCUAGGCGACGAUCCCUAGCUGGUCUGAGAGGAUGACCAGCCACACUGGAACUGAGACACGGUCCAGACCCCUACGGGAGGCAGCAGUGGGGAAUAUUGCACAAUGGGCGAAAGCCUGAUGCAGCCAUGCGGCGUGUAUGAAGAAGGCCUUCGGGUUGUAAAGUACUUUCAGCGAGGAGGCGUUACUCGCAGAAGAAGCACCGGCUAACUCCGUGCCAGCAGCCGCGGUAAUUC